GCUAGUCGCGUGGCUCAGCCAAUACGAGUCACGGCAUACAGCUCAGUAACACGUGGCUAACCUGCCCUAGGGACGAGAACACCCCCGGGAAACUGGGGCUAAUUCUCGAUAGGCGAAGAACUCUGGAAUGAGUCUUCACCCAAAAGGUACUGCGUUACGCUCGUAGUAUCGCCCAAGGAUGGGGCCGCGACCGAUCAGGUUGUUGGUGAGGUAAUGGCUCACCAAGCCUUUUACCGGUGCGGGCCGUGAGAGCGGGAGCCCGGAGAUGGGCACUGAGACAAGGGCCCAGGCCCUACGGGGCGCAGCAGUCGCGAAAACUUUGCAAUAAGCGAAAGCUUGACAGGGCUAUCCCGAGUGCCAUCCGCUGAGGAAGGCUUUUACCCAGUCUAGAACGCUGGGGGAAUAAGGAGAGGGCAAGUCUGGUGUCAGCCGCCGCGGUAAUACCAGCUCUUCGAGUGGUGUGGAUGUUUAUUGGGCCUAAAGCAUCCGUAGCUGGCUAGGUUAGUCCCCUGUUAAAUCCACCGAAUUAAUCGUUGGAUUGCGGGGGAUACUGCUUGGCUAGGGGACGAGAGAGGCAGACGGUAUUUUCGGGGUAGGGGUGAAAUCCUAUAAUCCCGGGAAGACCACCAGUGGCGAAGGCUGUCUGCUAGAACGCGCCCGACGGUGAGGGAUGAAAGCUGGGGGAGCGAACCGGAUUAGAUACCCGGGUAGUCCCAGCUGUAAACGAUGCAGGCUAGGUGUUUGGACGGCCACGUGCCGUUCUAGUGCCGCAGGGAAGCUGUUAAGCCUGCCGCCUGGGGAGUACGAUCGCAAGAUUGAAACUUAAAGGAAUUGGCGGGGGAGCACCACAAGGGGUGAAGCUUGCGGUUUAAUUGGAUUCAACGCCGGA
rnacentral:rRNA from 1 species